rnacentral:rRNA from 1 species
CGCGGUAUUUUGACUGUGCGAAGGUAGCAUAAUCACUUGUUUUUUAAUUGAAGACUUGUAUGAAUGGCUGAACGAGAAAAUAACUGUCUCUUUUAAAAAUCUUGAAUUUUACUUUUUAGUGAAAAGGCUUAAAUAACUUUAAGGGACGAUAAGACCCUAUAAAUCUUCAUAUUAUUUUUCUUUAAAUUUCAAAUUAUAUAUUAAAAGAAAAAAAGAAAAAAAUAUUAUAUUGGGGAGAUAAAAAUAUAAUUUUUAACUGUUUUAAACAUAAAACAAUAAUUUUUGAUUUACUAAUAUUGAUCCUUUUUAAAGAUUUUAAGAUUAAGUUACUUUAGGGAUAACAGCGUAAUUUUUUUUGAGAGUUCAUAUCGAAAAAAAAGUUUGCGACCUCGAUGUUGAAUUAAAAUAUCCUUAUAAGUGCAGAAGCUAUAAAGGAAAGUCUGUUCGACUUUUAAAAUUUUACAU